rnacentral:RNase_P_RNA from 2 species
GAAGCUGGCCAGGCAAUCGCUGUGUCGCGUAUCUAUGAUAGGUGAUACAGAGGAAAGUCCGGGCUCCGUAGAGCAGAGUGCCAGAUAACCUCUGGAAGGUAAAAAUCAGUGGAUGAAUGUCCACGGACAUAAGCCUAUGGAAAGUGCAGCAGAAAACAGACCGCCUACGUACACCUCGGUGUGCCGGUAAGGUUGAAAUGGUGCGGUAAGAGCGCACCGCGCAGCAGGUAACUGACUGUGGCAAGGUAAACCCCACUCGGAGCAAGACCAAAUAGGGGGGCAAUGGAGCGGCUCGCUCUGUCCCCGGGUAGGUUGCUUGAGGUGCAUGGUGACGUGCAUCCCAGAUGAAUGGUUGUCCACGACAGAACCCGGCUUAUCGGCCAGCUUCCCCU